rfam:TPA: Aspergillus nidulans FGSC A4 chromosome VII
GCGCCGAUGGUGGAGUGGUAUCAUGUAUCAUUCCCAAGUACUAUACUGGAAAAAUGAUGAGUCCCGGGUUCGAACCCCGGUCGGCGCA